UAUUCAAAACUAGAAAAUCAUGUUGAUACCAAGUAGUUUAAUAUAAUGGAAUAUGAACUCGGCAUCACCAGGGACAUGAUGGGGUAACUUGCCAAUAUCCCAAGUGAAGCUCAAGUUCUUUUACCAUAGUGGCUGCCUCUCGUCUUGAAGGACUUGCUCUCUAGAGAGGAAGCUCAUUCCAUGUUCAUGCAAUGUUACGGUUAAGAACUAGUCCUGUGGCAACAAACUGCCUGAUUGGAAUACUGGCUUCCCUACUUACUAGCCGUUUGAGUCAGUACUAAACACUUAACUUUUCCGAGCUUUGUUUUCUUCAUCAGCAAAAUGAGAGCCAUAACAGUAACGAUUUCAUAGGGUUGUUGAAAAGAUUGAAUGAAAAAAAAAAUGUAUUUAAAGCUCUUAGAAUAGACUCCCUGACUGUCUGAGGAUAGACCGCCAUCAUGAAUGACAUGGUAACUAUCUGAACUAGAAAGUUCAUGACCAACCGAUGACUUCAGAGGAAACAAAUGAUCAUUGAUGUCCUUCACCCCAGGAAGGCAACAGUACCAUACCUGAGACAGAAAUUCGGGAAAAACUGGCAAAAAUGUACAAGACCACACUGGAUGCCAUCUUUGUACCUGGAUUCAGAACUCAUUUUGGUGGUGGCAAGACAACUGGCUUUGGCAUGAUUUAUGAUUUCUUGGAUUGUGCAAAGAAAUAUGAAUCCAAACAUGGCCUUGCAAGACAUGGUCUGUAUGAGAAGAAAAAGACCUCAAGAAAGCAACGAGAGGAACACAAGAACAGAAUGAGGAAAGUCAGGGGGACUGCAAAGGCCAAUGUUGGUGUCGCCAAAAAGAAAUGAAGUGUCUAGCAGUGAGCUGGAGAUUGGAUCACAGCUGAAGUGGUAAAGGCAUUGCAAUGAUGUUAUCUAUAGCCAUUGUGGAUUUUUCACAGGAAGAUUAAUAAACUAAAAACUUUCAUGUGGAAAAAAAAAA